rnacentral:lncRNA from 1 species
UUCGGGAAGGUCAGUGGCUGUGAGCUGAUGGCACCCUGUGAGCUACCAGCACCUGCAGCACCAACACCUUCCCCUCGGUGGCUUUUGCAAGAGAAGACCAGUUUGGCUGGCAAAGGCUGGGACCACCUCGGAGGGAUGACCACACUGCCUCCCUUGUCUUCACGGGCCACCAUCCCCGGGGCAGGACCCACCCCAGUGUGGUACCACCGGCUUGCCCCAGGCUGGGGAUGGCCAUUGUGGUCCAGACAAUGGUCCACCCCCCAACCAUGAAUGGAAAAUGCUCUCCUGUGUUGGGCUGACAACAGGCUCCCUGUUCUCCUGGGUAAGUUCUCCUGGGUAAGUUCUCCUGGGUAAGUUCUCCUGGGUGAAGGGAGCGCUCCCACCCCGGGCAAUCCCCCCUUUGAUCUUCCUGCUGGCUGCAUUGCGUUUUCUUACUGCCCCUAAGUAAUCCAGGACACUAAAAAAACAUAGAGGAGAGGGAAAAUAUUCAUUUACAGCCUUUUUCACUGUUUUUUCUUCAGGAGUUCCCCACAAAACCUGCUUAUAAGAGCGCAGCAAGGAAAGAUAGAGAAGGGAAGGCCCUCUGAUAAACCCACGCUACUGGAGGAUGCUCACACAAGACCUGAAACCAUCUCAUGGUGGCAAGGCCAUAAAUUCACCCUGAAUGUGUAGGACACGAUGCUGGUAUGAGGGAGGAAUGGGCAGAAAUGCUGUGAAAUGGGCUCAGGAGCUGCAAAACACCCAGAGACCUCCUCCUCUUGAAGGCACAUCCCCGGGGGCUUGGCCCCAGAUGCCUCAGGUGUUACACUUCAACACAUACUCGUUACCCCAGCGUGAACUGAUCUGGAAACACAAGAAAAGCUUUACUGGGGAGGAGAACAUCAAGAGGGCGAUGGGCAGAUGCUUGUAUGAGGGAGGAAUGGGCAGAAAUGCUGUGAAAUGGGCUCAGGAGCUGCAAAACACCCAGAGACCUCCUCCUCUUGAAGGCACAUCCCCGGGGGCUUGGCCCCAGAGAAGAAAAAAAUAUUCAAAAUAAACAGCUGUAAAAGUAAAAGGUCUUUCUGCUUCAUCUGGAAAUCUCCUCUCUCUGGUGGGUUACGGAGCGCUCGGACCCAUUGCCCUCCAAGACACACAUGGGUGAGGAUGGAGUCCCAUCUGCCAGCACCCGUCCAUCAAUUCCCACUGAGGGACCCAAAAAACCUCCCUGUCCCCUUUUCUCAGUCCAACCGACCCCCAAAAAACCCAAGAGGCCCCUUCCCACCCGUACAGCCCACCAGUCUGUGCUUCUCAUGCAAGACACGCCAACGGGUGUCUUUUUAGAAAGGGAAAGGUGGCAUCUUGCUCCAAAGUGUCACCUUUGGGGGGCUGGGGUUGCAGAGUGGUACCCCCAGGAGGGUGGGUGUUGGGGGGGUAGGAUGCAUUUAGCCUUGAUUUAUGCUGUUGGAGUAACCAAACCUUUUAAUUCAUGGUUAAUUCUUCACUUCAAGAAGCUCGGCUGAGGACACCAAGUGCUCCAAGAGGUGGCUCCAUAAUUUGGAAGAGGAGCAAUGGUUAAUUUAUGGUUAAUUCUUCACUUCAAGAAGCUCGGCUGAGGACACCAAGUUCCAAGAGGUGGCUCCAUGAUUUGGAAGAGGAGCAAUGGUUAAUUCAUGGUUAAUUCUUCACUUCAAGAAGCUCGGCUGAGGACCAAGUGCUCCAAGAGGUGGCUCCAUGAUUUGGAAGAGGAGCAAUGGUUAAUUCAUGGUUAAUUCUUCACUUCAAGAAGCUCGGCUGAGGACACCAAGUGCUCCAAGAGGUGGCUCCAUGAUUUGGAAGAGGAGCAAGCCCAGCUCUGGUGGACGUGCAGAGACAUUGGGACGUGCUUCUCCCAUGCGAGACAGGACCUGAGGGUGGGACAAACCACGAGCACCUGGAAAGGUGACCCCUUCCAGCACCAAAAUCAGGAUGGAGCUGAACCUGGAGGAGAUAGAGGUGACACAGGGCGCAAGGGCUGGGUGCUGGGAGCUGCCAAAAGGGCAUUUGGAGAUGCCAGGAGGACAG